GUUGAACGCUGGCGGCGUGCCUAAUACAUGCAAGUCGAACGAAACUUCUUUAUCACCGAGUGCUUGCACUCACCGAUAAAGAGUUGAGUGGCGAACGGGUGAGUAACACGUGGGCAACCUGCCCAAAAGAGGGGGAUAACACUCGGAAACAGGUGCUAAUACCGCAUAACCAUAGUUACCGCAUGGUAACUAUGUAAAAGGUGGCUAUACUACCGCUUUUGGAUGGGCCCGCGGCGCAUUAGCUAGUUGAUAGGGUAAAGGCUUACCAAGGCAAUGAUGCGUAGCCGAAUUGAGAGGUUGAUCGGCCACAUUGGGACUGAGACACGGCCCAAACUCCUACGGGAGGCAGCAGUAGGGAAUCUUCCACAAUGGGCGAAAGCCUGAUGGAGCAACGCCGCGUGGGUGAAGAAGGUCUUCGGAUCGUAAAACCCUGUUGUUAGAGAAGAAAGUGCGUGAGAGUAACUGUUCACGUUUCGACGGUAUCUAACCAGAAAGCCACGGCUAACUACGUG
rnacentral:rRNA from 1 species